ACAACUUUGGCAUGUGGUGGAGAAACAACACAGAUGGGCAUACCAGAGUAACUUGCUCACAACAGCCCUUCAUUCCCUACAGCCUUUCAUUCCCAGCAAAGAGCGUGGCUGUAAACCAGACCGGGCUGUUCUUGAGUAGGAGGAACCACUGCUUUGUAGUGCACUUACAGUAACUGGCUGUACCUGCUGGCAUUUCCUGGAAAAGCAGAAAUAAACUUUCAUGAUAUCCUUUAAUAGACACAGAUGUAAGUCGUAGUAAAAAUAUUUUAAUUUUUUUCUUAAAACACUACUAACUUGGGAGGGAUGUUGCAAGUAUUUGAAAUUAUUUUCUACAUGAAGCUGAGACCUGACAAGUACGAGACCUGAUUUCAAGCCAGUGGAAAAAGCAGGAAAAAUUCUGAGAUCUACAACAGAAACAUUUGAUGGAUUCUUUAAAAUGUUCUUUAGAAUUUAAGAAAUUUGGUUUUACAUUAAAUGAUUGGUAAUAGCCUUAGAAUUUUUAAAAAGUUUUAUGUAAUAUUGGCAGUUUCUGCAAUCUCAUUCCUGCUGUGUCUUGAACUACCUUUAACCCCUAUGACAUGUUUUCUGUAAUUCUUAUGUUACAGUUGCAUUUCUGCAGUUUCCUGACUGGUGCAGUGUCUGGGUACUCACAGCAUGUUGACUUCUACAUAGAAGAAAAAUUAACAUAUUUAGAUAUUUGGGUUUUUUUUCCCCAACUCAUCCUCCUCAGUAUAUAGUCUUUAUUUAAGAGGGAUGAAGGCGUAACACCCUUCCACUCCAGUUUUUUCAAAUGUAAUUUCUACAUUUCUUUCCUGAAUAUACUGGUUUUUGAGCUGUUCCUACCCAUAUCUUCUUCCUCCUUCAUAUGACAAAACAAAGCUUGGAUAAAUUA